rnacentral:rRNA from 1 species
AGUGAACGCUGGCGGUAGGCCUAACACAUGCAAGUCGAACGGCAGCACAGUAAGAGCUUGCUCUUACGGGUGGCGAGUGGCGGACGGGUGAGGAAUACAUCGGAAUCUACUUUUUCGUGGGGGAUAACGUAGGGAAACUUACGCUAAUACCGCAUACUACCUACGGGUGAAAUCAGGGGAUCUUCGGACCUUGCGCGAUUGAAUGAGCCGAUGUCGGAUUAGCUAGUUGGCGGGGUAAAGGCCCACCAAGGCGACGAUCCGUAGCUGGUCUGAGAGGAUGAUCAGCCACACUGGAACUGAGACACGGUCCAGACUCCUACGGGAGGCAGCAGUGGGGAAUAUUGGACAAUGGGCGAAAGCCUGAUCCAGCCAUACCGCGUGGGUGAAGAAGGCCUUCGGGUUGUAAAGCCCUUUUGUUGGGAAAGAAAAGCAGCAGGUUAAUACCCCGCUGUUCUGACGGUACCCAAAGAAUAAGCACCGGCUAACUUCGUG